ensembl:snRNA U6 U6 spliceosomal RNA
GUGCUCAUUUCAGCAGCACAUACACUAAAAUUGAAAUAAUAUAGAGAUUAGCAUGACCUCUGCUCAAGGAUGGCAUGCACAUUUGUGAAGUGUUUCAUAUUUAU